GACAAACGCUGGCGGCAUGCCUAACACAUGCAAGUCGAACGGACAGACCAGGGAAGCUUUUCGGAGUGGAACUGGAAAGUUAGUGGCGGAUGGGUGAGUAACGCGUGGACAACCUACCUUGUAAAGGGGAAUAACCUCGAGAAAUCGAAGCUAAUACCCCAUAAUAACCUUGCUUCGCAUGAAGUAAGGAGGAAAGGCGGCCUUAGCGCUGUCGCUACAAGAUGGGUCCGCGGCUGAUUAGCUAGUUGGGGAGGUAAAGGCUAACCAAGGCGACGAUCAGUAGCCGGCCUGAGAGGGUGAACGGCCACAUUGGGACUGAGACACGGCCCAAACUCCUACGGGAGGCAGCAGUGGGGAAUCUUCCGCAAUGGGCGAAAGCCUGACGGAGCAAUGCCGCGUGAGUGAAGAAGGCCUUCGGGUUGUAAAACUCUGUCCUUAUCGAAGAGAGAGUGUUGUAGUAACUGACAAUACUAGGACGGUAGAUGAGGAGGAAGCCCCGGCUAACUAUGUG
rnacentral:rRNA from 1 species